AACGAACGCUGGCGGCAGGCUUAACACAUGCAAGUCGAGCGCCCCGCAAGGGGAGCGGCAGACGGGUGAGUAACGCGUGGGAAUCUACCCAUCUCUACGGAAUAACGCAUGGAAACGUGUGCUAAUACCGUAUACGUCCUUCCGGAGAAAGAUUUAUCGGAGAUGGAUGAGCCCGCGUUGGAUUAGCUAGUUGGUGGGGUAAAGGCCUACCAAGGCGACGAUCCAUAGCUGGUCUGAGAGGAUGCUCAGCCACACUGGGACUGAGACACGGCCCAGACUCCUACGGGAGUCAGCAGUGGGGAAUGUUGGACAAUGGGCGCGAGCCUGGUCCAGCCAUGCCGCGUGAGCGAUGAAGGCCCUAGGGUUGGAAAGCUCUUUCACCGGUGAAGAUAAUGACGGUAACCGGAGAAGAAGCCCCGGCUAACUUCGUGCCAGCCGCCGCGGUAACAC
rnacentral:rRNA from 1 species